GGGGACAACAGUUGGAAACGACUGCUAAUACCGCAUACGAUCCAAUCUCGGCAUCGAGACUGGAUGAAAGGUGGCCUCUAUUUAUAAGCUAUCACUGAAGGAGGGGAUUGCGUCUGAUUAGCUAGUUGGAGGGGUAACGGCCCACCAAGGCGAUGAUCAGUAGCCGGUCUGAGAGGAUGAACGGCCACAUUGGGACUGAGACACGGCCCAG
rnacentral:rRNA from 1 species